UUUUGCAAACUUUUUGCUCGACCUUUUCUUAGCUCAUCCUCUUUCUUUCUCUCUCUCUCCCCAUGCUCUCUAUCUCCUCCCUAUCUCACCUCAUUACGCGGUGGACUGGGUACCAACUUCUUCUAUUUUGGGAGGCAAUUUCAGAGGAUGUAUGUAGCCUCUUCACACGACUUGCGUUGGCCUCAUGAGAUGGGUGGCGUCUUCACCUUGUUCCUUCUAUUACCAUCAUUCAUGGCAGGCCGACUACUAUUGCUGGAAGAAGCCAUUGAUGUGUGCUACAACUUAAUUGAAGAAAUUCUAUUUGGAGUGUUCUUUUGUUUUCACCGUUGGCACAGAAGGACUGCCCAACCGCCGAUCAACCAAACCCCGCCGUCCGAUGUCUAGAAACGCCGCAAGUGGAGCCCACUGCCUGGUCCCCCAUGCGAAGGCGCAUGCAUGCGCGUGCGCCGUUCUACCACUACAAGAAAAAGACCCUACAUUGACGAUAUCUACAGCGACGACUACAAAGUCGUCAUUGUAUGCUGUCGAAAAUCACGAGAAAUAAUUUUUUUCAUUUAUUGAAAUUAUUAGGCUACAGUGACAACAUGACCUCGCUAUAGGGUCAUCAACAAUGCCAAAGAAAACCCUCCAAAUUCCUGCUGCCCUACAGCGACGACAUGUUGUCGCUAUAGAGUGCUCGUGGUGUGAAAAGGUAGGAAAAAUUCACCCCUAUAGCAACGAUUAGUCUUCGUUAUAGAUUAAGUGGAAAGUAACCGCCAAAAGGCGGUUACCAAUUUCCAUGACCCCAUGUCGUCGCUAUAGAGACCCAUUAAAAGAAAGUUUCAGUUAAAAAUGUACUCUAUAGCGACGACAUGGCGUCGCUAUAGGGGUCCAAAAAAACGGGGGAAAGUGGACUACCAAAAAUUUCGGUCACAUUUUCGUAGUUUAUAACUACGACAUGUCGCACAGUAGGGUCUUACCAUUUUGAGUGAAACGGUGCGUUGAACCUCUACGAUGAUAUGUUAUUACCUAUAGCGACGACAUGUCGUCGCUAUAGGUUUCGGCUAUAUAACCCCCAAGCAGAGGCUUUCUUCUUCAUUUUUGCUGCAAUUUUCCAAAACAGAGAAACUUUUCUCUGGUUUUCUUCGUCGCGCAGCGCCGCCCAGCGCCGCCUAGAGCCAUUUUUGGCCCCCUUUUGUUAAGAUUGUAUUGGAGCAUCUAGAGCAUCUCAAGCUUUUGGGUAUUGUUUUUAAUUUUAAAUAUUUGUUUUGUUUUGUGAGCAAUAGUGUGUAGAUAAUUUUUAAAUUAAAUUAAAUUCUAGUAGUUUUUAAAAUAAAUUUGUAUGUUUUGUUAAUUCUAUUGUGAAUUUGAUAUUAAUUUUAUUUUAUGAAAUAGGUAUGUUAAAAUAUUUUUUUGUUUUGAAUUGUAUA